GUCAUAAUUAUUCUUGAGUCUCUUCCUGAAGAGUUUGAACAAUUUAAGGUCAACUAUAACUCUCUAAAGGAAAAAUGGCCACUCUCUGAGAUGACCGCAAGGAUCGUCCAGGAGGAAGAAAGGAUCAUGAGGCAGAAGAAAGACCAUGUCUUUCAUGUUGGCUCUAACAAGAGAAAGCAUGACGGACAAGGUUUCCCUAAGCCUCAGAAAAGGCAAGUCAAGAAAGAAGGCACUAAGCCAUUCAACCCUAAGGCAUUCAAGGGUAAAGAAGCUGGUGGUUCUUCUUCUGCUCCUAGCAGCUCCACUGCUGGAGAAAAUGCUUGUAACUUCUGCAAAGAAGAGGGACACUAUCAAAGGGACUGCCCAGGCUUUCUAAAAUGGAUGAACAAAAGAGGGAUUCGAUACGAUCCAAACCAU
rnacentral:rRNA from 1 species